rnacentral:tmRNA from 1 species
GGGGGCGUACUGGCUUCGACGUGGGUUUAGCGGUUUUAGUAGCGAGCCAUGUUUCGCUUAGGAUCAUGUAAAAAACUGAGCAAAAAAUAUAAACGCAAACGAUAAUUACGCUUUAGCGGCUGCAUAGAUAGCUGCUCGUUUCUACCUAACCACCCGCUGUUAGGCUAGAAACGUCAUUGACGCGGGGAACGCCUUAAGGGUUGCCUUGACCUUAAGUUGUACAAUUAAGGCUGGCUAAAUCUAGAACUUGUUGUUGAGUGCUAGAUAAAGCGAGAUUUAAAUCAACAACUGCGCUCGGAGAAUCUAAAAUUUAAGAGCUUGCGGACAGGGGUUCGACUCCCCUCGCCUCCACCA